UUUCUCUUAGCUUAUAGUUAAAGCGUUAGUUUGAAGAGCUGAAGUUAAAUGUUAUUUAGGGAAAC
rnacentral:tRNA from 2 species